UUUGGGUUAGGGUAGGGUUAAAAGAAAAACUGGAUGGUCUUAAAGAGCACGGGCCUAUUAUUACUGUGUUGUUAAGCUAAUUGAAAUUGAAAUGAAAAGGGUAGGAAUGCAAAUGGAUGUGUUGUAGAAUCAUGUUUGUUUUUUUUAAAAAAAACAGGUGCUGUGUGGCGCUGAAUGAGUGGAUGGUGUUGUGGAUUUGAGGAUCAAGGUGCUGUGUGGCGAUGAAUAAGUGGAUGGUGCUGAAGAUGGAGAUCAGGUCCCAGGGGUGUAAUUGUGUUCAACUGUGUGAUCCAUUUUCUUUCGGCAUGCUUCCGCUGUCCACUGGACCACCCGGACCCCGACUCC